UGACGGCCAUACCAUGCUGAAUAUGCUGUUCUCGUUAGAUCACCGAAGUCAAGCAUCAUUGGGCGCGGUCAGUACUUGGGUGGGUGACCACCUGGGAACACCGCGUGCCG